GCAGUAAGGCUUACGGGCGUCCCCCGCUCAGGUGGUAUCUGACCGCGUCUCCUAGGAGACCGGGAGGCGGCUGGCGGUUUUCUCAUCAACUUCAGUUCCUCUUUAGUAGGUAGGGUUCACACCCAGCACAGAGCCCAAGGCAGAGCUUGAACUCACGACCCUGAGAUCAAGACCUGAGCUGAGAUCAAGAGUUGGAUGCUUAACUGAGCCACCCCGGCACCCUGCAAGGAUCUCCUACAGCAAGCGUGUCUUCUCCAGAGCUCCAGUCUCCGCUGAACAACCCUGCUGUAGUUCCGGCUUCUGCAGAGUGACCUCAGCCCCUGGACUUAGGUCACAUCACUUUCUCCCCUUGUCCCUCUCACCUCCCUGGGUGGAGACGACUUCUUGCCAUUAGAAAGCCUGAGCCUCACCUAUCCCGUUUGGUUUCUUAACUGUUUCAUCGCCUGUGUAACGAAUUCCUCAUAUUAAAUUCUCUCGGGGGGUCUGGGGGGCCCAGCUGGUAAAGCAUCCAACUCUUGGCUUUGGCUCAGGUCAUGAUCCCAGGGUCAUGGGAUUGAGCCCGGAGCUGGGCUCCGCUCUAACAGCGUGGAACCCGCUUAAGACUCUCUCUCCCUCUGCCUCUCUCCCCGUUCGUGCUCUUUCUCUC